AGACCGUUCGUUUCCAAUGAACAGUCUGAAUAAUGCAAUCUAAACAUUAAAAUUAAAGAGAAAACACAACAACAAAAAGCUUUUCCUUUUCUUCGCACCCAACGACUGAAAGUUCACCACUCUCUCUCUCUGUCUCUCCUUCUCCCGCUUUCUCUCUCUCUCCAUUUUCUCCGUUGCAGAACAGCCGAGCCACGCCACAAUCCAUCCACAGAGGAACAACCUGGGCGUAAGGGAAUUUUCGGUUCAGUUCGGGUGUGUGAGGCUCAUUCCUUUGAUGAAAAGAAGAUUUUCUCUUAUUUCAGGUGUGUUUGUUUGGAUGGGGAUGCUGAUCAACUGGUAUAUUUUUCCAUGCCAUCAAAAAGUUGCAAUAAGAUUGAUCUUGUUAUGGUGACAAGAUAUUAUCUUUGUUUGCCAUCUUCAUCAAGGAGCAACUAAACACUCAGCAAGGAGGGUGGUGAAAAAUAUGAACAGUAGUUAUCAUGCUCGUCUUGGUGUUGUACAGAAAGCAUAUGCAAAUGGAGGAUAAACAGAUUACCUCAAAAUGUUGGGCUUAGAAGUUGUGUUUACUCCUACAGGAGUCAAAUACUUGCACACGAGAAAGCAACUAAGUUCAGAACAGUAAAAGGCCCCUUUGAGACUGUUGGCAGUCAGUAAGUUGAUUAACCAAGCAGUCGGAGAUGCUCUGAGUAGGUUGCUCACUUGCUCCUGGUGGAGGCUGUUUUGCACUGUAUGGGAUGGUCAGGACACAGAUGGAGUGAGCUUUAUAAGGAUCUACUGAGUAGGCAGCUUGAGUUCAGUUUUCUUGAUCACCUUCUAUGAAGAUAAUCUUGUUAUCCUGAAAUUGGAAGCAAAAUACCGUCAAGGCCGAUCUUUCAUACGACCAUCAAGUACCGAAGAUGUAAUAUGAGUGUUUGCAGAAGCAUCCACCCAGGAAGCAGCUGACAGCCUAGCCAACUCCAUAGCAAGACUUGUGGCUGUGGACCAUUUCCUAGGAUUUGGUUCUAUCUUUUGGUCAUUAUUGGACCAGUUUGAUUUUGAUAUUGUGAUAUUGAUCGUUGUAAAUGUGGAUAAUUACUUGAUACUUUAAUUACCUUCUCAAAACUUGAUGAACUAGAAACAAAAUGGAAUAUGAAUUGAA